GUUAUAUCAAAAUGUCCAGGAACAAGGACAAUCAGUGUGGAAUCGCAUCAGAGGCCAGCUACCCUCUUAUGUAGGGAACGAAGUCAUUCACAUACUUGUUCUCUCACAGAUUAUCAAGUGAAAGGAAAUCAGGCAGGUUAUGAUGGAUACACGUCCGUAAUUCAUUACGAUGCUGAAUUUUAACGUUUCAUUCAUAGAUCAAACAAUUCUGAAAAAUCGUUAUUAGAAAAAACUCCUAGGUAUACUGUGUACCACUGUUCCUGAAGAUCUCUAAAACUUUCUAUUAUAUACUGUGUCUCGUUAUUCUUAAAGGUCUUUUAAAAUUGCUUUUUUUACUGUGUGUCAUUGUUACAAAGGUGUAUUGUUUAAUAAUUGUCCAAUAAAAUACUAUUACAAGAUUUU
rnacentral:misc_RNA from 1 species